GGAAUGCAGAAGAGCUCUCCAAGGCACAUAACACAGUCUCAACUCUAUUGGUGCUGAAAGCUGAUCUUGCACUGAGGAAAGUGACUUAACCUAGGGUGAUCCAGCUUUCCGGACCAAAAGGAAGCGAAAGUCAUCCUAAAAAAUCCACGUAAAUAUUUGCCACACUAUAAAUUGGAACUGGAAUGAAUCCACUUUGAAGCACACGAGUAACAUUAACCUGAUUGUCACAUACAUACUUCAAAUAUAUUUCAUUCAUUUGGAAUUUGUCCAAUUUCCUUGCUUCAAACAUCUUUUGUCAAAGUAAAUUUAUGCUGAGAACCAAUACCAAGAGCCUGACAACCCCCUACGCAAGUGUUCUAGGGAGGCAAGAGCGCUAAGACAGAAGGGGGCGUGAGCGAA
rnacentral:lncRNA from 1 species